rnacentral:rRNA from 1 species
CCUACGGGGGGCAGCAGUGAGGAAUAUUGGUCAAUGGACGAGAGUCUGAACCAGCCAAGUAGCGUGAAGGAUGACUGCCCUAUGGGUUGUAAACUUCUUUUAUAUGGGAAUAAAAUGUUCCAAGUGUGGGAUUUUGUAUGUACCAUAUGAAUAAGAAUCGGCUAACUCCGGGCCAGCAGCCGCGGUAAUACGGAGGAUCCGAGCGUUAUCCGGAUUUAUUGGGUUUAAAGGGAGCGUAGGGGGAUUGUUAAGUCAGUUGUGAAAGUUUGCGGCUCAAACGUGAAAUUGCAGUUGAAACUGGCAGUCUUGAGUACAGUAGAGGUGGGCGGAAUUCGUGGUGUAGCGGUGAAAUGCUUAGAUAUCACGCAGAACUCCGAUUGCGAAGGCAGUUCACUGGACUGCAACUGACACUGAGGCUCGAAAGUGUGGGUAUCAAACAGGAUUAGAUACCCUUGUAGUC